UACAGAGGUCUCAAGCGUUGUUCGGAUUCAUUGGGCGUAAAGGGUGUGUAGGUGGCGCGCUAAGUCGGGUGUGAAAUUUCGGAGCUUAACUCCGAAACUGCAUUCGAUACUGGCGUGCUUGAGGACUGGAGAGGAGACUGGAAUUCAUGGUGUAGCAGUGAAAUGCGUAGAGAUCAUGAGGAAGACCAGUGGCGAAGGCGGAUCUCUGGACAGUUCCUGACACUGAGACACGAAGGCCAGGGGAGCAAACGGG
rnacentral:rRNA from 1 species